rnacentral:rRNA from 1 species
UACGGAGGGUGCGAGCGUUGUCCGGAAUCAUUGGGCGUAAAGGGCGCGUAGGUGGCGGGACAAGCGUGCGGUGAAAGCUCGGGGCUCAACCCCGAGUCGGCCGUGCGAACUGUCUUGCUUGAGCACUGUAGAGGCAGGCGGAAUUCCGGGUGUAGCGGUGGAAUGCGUAGAGAUCCGGAAGAACACCCGUGGCGAAGGCGGCUCUCUGGGACGGUACUGACGCUGAGACGCGAAGCGUGGGAGCGAACAGG